AAAAAGAGUGGGAUACUGUAUUUCCAAGAUUGGAUUUCGUAUUCGAAUGAACCUCGUAAUCGUAAGAAAGUAGGUUUUUUAACUACGGGCCUAGCAAACGAAAAAUUUGGAUAGGAUCCAAUAAGAUGGAUCUCCCCCUUUGAAAAUCGGACGUGAGGGUUUCCUCUCAUCCGGCUAAAGUAUUUACACACAAUAAAGAUAAAGAAAGUGGUUUCCGUUUUCAAAUUUUUGAAAACCUCUAAAUCUAAAAUAAAAAAGGUUUACUCUUUACUCAAGUUAUCAAUACAGACGAAGCAACAUUUCAUUGAUACAUUCUUCUUUGUUUCUGAAUUCUUUAUGCAAUUCGAAAUUACGACAGAAAUUCAAUGUAAAAUUCUUGAGUAGUCUACCUCCCUUCGAACGAAGAAUCCUUUAAAAUAUACUUUUUAAUAAAAAAAAGGAAUAUCCUCGAAUUCAUAAGAGAUUUCUUUGUCUAUGUAUCAUACCAUUUGAUCUUUUAGGUCAAGACGUCACCUCGACGGUUAUGCCACGAUGUCUUUAAGCCUAUAUGCGAUAGAUAGACUUCGGCAAUCAUGAUAUAUUAUAUUUUAUUCUUUGAACUUAAUUUAAGUUCUUAAAAAAAAAGAGAUGAAAUAAUUAAUUCCACAAAAAAAUAAUUUUUUUUUUCACAAGGUACGUACGGUUAUAAAUAAAUAUUUAUUUGUUACUGAAUUGACCAUAGACCAAUUCCCUUAUUGAUUUGGGAGUAUUCAAUACACCCAUGAAUUCUGAGCUUCAUGUUACUCAUCCCAAGAGACAUGCCAGAUAGAGGACAUUCCAAUUUAAUUGAAUGGAAUGACAGUUUCUCAUUUGAAAUCUGUACAAUAAGAAUUUUUAUCAAAUCACACAUCGCAGUAUACUAGACCUUCUAAUUCUUUAAGAGGUUUAUCUAAAAGGCUCGCAAUAUAACUAGGAAGACGUUUCAAAUACCAUACAUGGGUUACUGGACAUGCUAGUUUUAUAUACCCCAUUUGAUACCUACGUACCCGAGAAUCAACAAAUUCUACUCCGCAUUGUUCACAAAAUUUGGGUUGGUCUUUUUUAUCUCCGAUUACUCGAUAAUUUCCACAAGCACAAAUCCCACUUUUUAUAGGCCCAAAAAUUCGUUCACAAAAUAAUCCAUCUUUUUCAGGCUUAUUGGUUUUGUAAUGAAGAGUAUAGGGUUUUGUUACCUCUCCAACAAUUUCUCCAUUAGGUAGGAUUUUUUUUGCCCAAGCACUUAUUUGUUCAGGAGAAACUGAUCCAAUUCGAAGGUGUUGAUGUUUAUACUGAUCAAUCAUAGAAUAAAAUUUCUGAUUCAGUCCAAUUAAACUUCCUUCCUUUGAAUCUGGAAGUCUUUCUCAGAUACAAGGAAAUGAUUCAGUUCCAGAGCCAAAGAUCGUAGUUCUCGAACGAGCAAUCGAAAAGAUUCUGGAGCAUCCACAGGUUUAGGUAUUGUUCCUCCAAUAAUCGUAGUUCCGAGUACUUCUUGACGAGCUUUAAUAUGAUCAGAUUUAUAAGUCAGCAUCUCUUGUAAAAUAUGAGCAACACCGAACCCCUCGAGCGCCCAAACCUCCAUUUCGCCUACCCGUUGUCCUCCUUGUUUCGCCCUUCCUUUAAGGGGUUGUUGUGUAACAAGUGCAUAAUGUCCACUGGAACGUCCAUGUAUUUUAUCAUCAACUUGAUGAAUUAAUUUCAAAAUAUAAGGCUUUCCUAUUAUAACAGGCUGUUCAAAAAGAUUCCCUGUUCUUCCAUCAAAUAUUCCGCUCUUUCCCGGAUACUCGGGUUCAAAUAUCCAUGGAUUCGAUGUUUGUUUACUGGCUUCAUAUAAUUCAGAAAACACAAGUUUUCUGGAAGCCUCCUGUUCAUAUCUCUCAUCAAAAGGUGCUAUUCGAUAAUGUCUAUUUAGCAUACUCCCAGCUAAUCCGAGUGAACAUUCCAAUAUCUGUCCUACAUUCAUUCGUGAGGGUACCCCUAAUGGGUUGAAGACCAUAUCAACGGGUCUUCCAUCUUGCAAAUAAGGCAUAUCCUGUCUAGACAAAAUCUUUGAAACGAUACCUUUAUUUCCAUGUCUCCCGGCCACUUUAUCACCUACUUUAAUUUCACGUUUCUGUGAAAUAUAUAUAUGAAUCGUUUCUGGAUUAUAGCUAGAACCUGCUUUUUUUUGGAUCCAUCUCACAUCAAUAACUCGGCCCCUACCACCUAUAGGUAGUUUUAGACAAGUUUCCUUUGAGGUCGAUACCUGAAUCCCAAGUAUAGCUCGUAAUAAUCUAUCUUCCGGAGCAUAUGAGGAUUCUUUCGCCAUUUGAGGCGUUAAUUUACCCACUAAAAUAUCCCCUGUUUCUACCCAAGAUCCCAGAAUCACAAUUCCAUUUUUGUCUAAAUUUCGGAGUAAAUGGGCUUCUAGAUGUGGAAUUUUAUUAGUGAUUCUUUCAGGACCAUGGCUUGUCACAUGAGUCUGAAUUUCAUAUUUACGUAUGUGAAAAGAAGUAUAAAUAUCUUCAUAGACCAGACGUUCACUAAUGAGUACAGCAUCUUCAGAAUUGUAACCUUCCCAUGGCAUAUAAGCUACUAAUACGUUUUUUCCCAAAGCGAGUUCACCGCCAACAGUAGCAGCACCAUCUGCUAAAAUUUGCCCCUUUUUUACGCAUUUACCUUUAUGAACCCGGGAUUUUUGAUGCAUGCAAGUAUUUUUGUUGGAACGUUGAUAUAUAAUUAAUGGAAUACUUAGAGAAUUCCCAUUUCCAAAUAAAAUGAUCUUGUCAGUAUCGUUAUAAACGAUUUUUCCGGCGUGUUCGGCUAUAGCGGGAACUCCUGAAUCUAAGGCCACUUGGCGUUCCAAUCCAGUUCCAACAAUGCACUUUUCGGACCGAGAAAGAGGAACUGCUUGACGUUGCAUAUUAGAACUCAUUAAAGCUCGAUUCGCAUCAUUAUGCUCGAUAAAAGGAAUCAGGGAAGCUCCAAUAGAAAAAUAUUGGAAGGGAAAAAUACUUCGAAGAUGAACCUGUUCCCAUGCAAUAGUUAGAAAUUCUUGACGGUAUCGAGCUGGAACAAUCUGCUCCUCCUGAAUACCUCGAUUCAGUGCUAAAAAAUUUCCCGUCGCUACCAUAUAGUAUUCAUCUCUACUUGGUGAUAAAUAAAGCAUUCGUAUUCGUUUUGAUCUCUCAGAAAUUUCAAAAAAUGGACUUUCUAUAGACCCCCAACGACCAAUCCUUGCGUGAAUUGCCAAGGAUCCAAUAAGUCCUACAUUGAUUCCUUCCGAGGUGUCAAUUGGACAAAUGCGUCCAUAGUGACUAGGAUGGAUAUCCCGUAUCCGAAAACUAGCAGUUCGCCCCGUCAAUCCUCCAGGACCCAAAUAACUCAAUUUUCUCCCAUGAACUAUUUGGGUCAAUGGAUUGGUUCGAUCUAAAACUUGAGAUAAUGGGUGUAAUCCAAAAAACGAUUCAUAAGUGGUUGUUAAUGGAGUUGAAGUCACUAAAUUCUGAGGAGUCGGUAUCAAUUUAUAUCUAAUUGCUCCAGAUAUAGUUCCUCGAAUUAUAUUUUCUAAACGAACGAGAGCCAAUCCAAAUUGAUCUUGUAAUAGAUCUGCUACGGAACGAAUACGUUUAUUUUUCAAAUGAUUCAUAUCGUCAAGUGUACCCAUUCCAAAUUUCAUUCCAAUCAAAUGAUCCGCAGCUGUCAAUAUAUCUCGCGGUAACAAAAAUGUAUUGUUCUCGGGUAUAUCAAUAUUCAGUCUUCGGUUCAUAUUUCGGCGACCAAUCCCCCCUAAUUCACAUCUUUGUUGAAAAAAUUUUUUUUGUAAUUCCGUACAUAAAGAUUCCGGAAAUAUGGGAUCUCCGCCUACACAAGCAAAUUGUCGAUAAAACUCCAAAAUGGCAUUUUCUUUUGACCCUUAUUUUUUUUCCUCCUUUUCAUUGAGGAAAGAUAUAAAAAUUUCGGGGUAGCAAACGUUCUCAAGAAUUUCGCUUAAAUUCGAACCCAUAGCUGAUGAUAGAACUAGAAUAGAUAUUUUCUGUUUCCUACUUACACGAGCCCAUAUCCUUGCUUUUCUAUCAAUUUCUAACUCUAAUCUUCCCCCCCAAUCUGAUAUUAUUGUGCCGGUAUAGACUGAAAUUCCCUUAUGGUCCAACUCUGAACGAUAAUAGAUACCAGGGCUUUGCAAUAUUUGAUUGAUUACAAUUCUGUAUAUUCCAUUUACUAUAGAAGUUCCCAGGGAAUUCAUUAGAGGAAUGUUUCCAAUAAAAAUAAUUUGUUCUUGGAUAUCCCUACUGUUUUUCCAAAUUAAUCCCGCGGAUAUAUAUAAUUCAGAGGAAUAUGUAAGUGAUUCAUAUACAGCAUCUUUUUCUUUUAUCGAGGGUUCUACCAAUUGAUAUGUUUCCACAAACAACUGAAAUUCAAUUUCUUGAUCCGUAUCUUCAAUUUUUGGAAACUUAAAAAGUUCUUCUGUUAAGCCCCGAUCAAUGAAUCUACAAAACCCUUCAAAUUGUAUUUGAUUCAAUCCGGGUAGUGUAGACAUUCCUUCAUUCCCAACCCCAAGCAUUUUCAAUUUCCCCAUUUAUUUUAUAGAAAAUAUCCCGUGAUUUGCUGUCAUUCUUCAUUGAAUCACAUGAAUCGAUUUAGCAAUAAUGGAAUUUCUGGUCUUUUUACUUUACUGAAUCACAUGAAAUUUUACCUAACGACGUCUAUGAAAUACCUAUUAUGAAAACAGUAGAUUUUAUACUCAAAUUGGAAUUUGCAACAAAACAAACAAAUAGAAUAUAACUUGUAAUAUAAAUCGAAACAAAUUGAUAAAUUUCACCUAGACUUGGGAUAUUUUAUAGUAGUAGUAUAGUAUCUUAUUACAUAAUUCUAAUUCGAUUGAUACCCCAAAAAAUGAAUUCAGGAUUUGUUUGGCUCCAUGAGAUAAAGAUAUCCAAAAAAAAAUAAUCAGAAAAAAUAUACAAUUUAUUUAUUUUUUUCGAAUUUGAGAAUAUGAUUGCAGUGCAUAAAAAGACUUGGAUUUAUUAAACAUGCAUAGAUCUAACUUCAGCUAUAACUAUCUCUAUAUGUCUCUUACUUUAUUGCAGUCCUAUUUGUUCGGGACAGCACAUGUUAUGUUGUGUUCAUUUAUUUUUUCUAUUCAUUCAUUAAUCUAUUUAAUGAAAAAUUGGCAAAAAAAUGAAAGCACGAGAAUUUAUCGAAAAUUCCCUAUAAUAUAGGUAUAUGUAACAACGAAAAUGCAUGUUCUGGGGUUGACAUAUAUUAACAGUUGCUGUUAUAAUUGAAAUAGAGAGGGAUUAAAAAAAAAUAAUAAUAAUAUUGAUUGGUAAUAAUAUUGAUUGGUUAUGUAUCAAUUUCUAUUUUUUUCUCAUUAAUAAAGAAUAGAUUAAGAUUCAAGAAUUAAGAAUUAUUCAGGAAUUUGUAGUUAACGGUUGCUAUUUGUGCUGAAAUUUUGACUUUUCUUUUGUGACUGAAAGGUAUAGGUAUACGUUUGUUUUCAAUAGAAAAGGGGAGGGGAUUAAAGAAAACGGAAUUUAAGAUACAAACACAUCAAAAAAAAGAAUUUUAGAAACCCUUUUUUGUUUUUUUGAGAGGAGGAGGGGUAUUCGGAUCUAUUUUUUUGUUAUUAUUUUGGCGAUAUGGCCGAGUGGUAAGGCGGGGGACUGCAAAUCCUUUUUCCCCAGUUCAAAUCCGGGUGUCGCCUAAUCGAUAAGAGAAUUCAAAUAGUUUAUUUCGUUUUGUUGAUAUAGAAAACUUUUUCUUUUUUUUCCAGCACAAGCUAGUGUAGGAAUAAGGGACUAGUUUGAUGCUAAAUUCUAAGCAUCGGGAAGUUUGUUCUCUAAAAUGUUGUAAAUAUUUUCGUCUCAGAUUCAACGAAAAAUUCAUUAGAGGGAUGAAAAGGAAUAGAUCAAUCUUGAAAUGAUAGUCCUUUUAUUUCACUACUAUUGUAGUGUCCAUCUACUUUAUUGGGUCUUUAAUUAGAUUGGAUAGGGAUAGCUCGGAUGGGGAAUAUAAGUCCAUUUUAAGUUAGGGAAGGUGUUGAAGAAAAACCUUGUAUACAAACUUAUGGUAAAGUAUAUGAACGCUUCUUCAUUUAUUCCAUAUUAGUUAGAUUAAUGAAAUUGAAUAUCUAAUUCGAUUUUUUUUAUUAUUAUAAUAUUGAAUUUCUUUAUUUAUUAUUAUAUAUAUUAAUAUUAUUAUAUAUUAAUAUUAUUAUAUUAAUAAUAAAAUCCAAUUCAAAAAGAAUCCAUUUUUUUUUUCUAAUCUCUAGUAAAAGAAUUUUAGAGGAUGUUUUCCAAUUGUUUUAGAGAACGAAUCGGGAGACAAUCAAAUGGAAAUAAGAGAUGCAAAUAAGAGUCUGAGUAUGCAAAGAAAUCUAUGCUUAAUUUAAUAUUCUUUCAAUUCUACUAGAAAUCAGGUAAGAACUUGUUAGAUGUUCUAAUUGGAUGUUUCGUCAAUGGUGUUAUGACGGAAUCUUUUUUUGACUCUGUACCAGCGAUUCCACUAUUAUUAUAAGAUAUUAUAAAAUUUUUAGUGAAAAAUAAAAACGAAAAUAAUACAAGAAAAAUUAGUAAACAAUAAUAAAAAUAUUUCUUCAUAUUGAUAGAGAUAGGAGACAAAAUUUACAUGGAUAUAGUAAGUCUUGCUUGGGCUGGUUUAAUGGUAGUUUUUACAUUUUCCCUUUCCCUUGUAGUAUGGGGAAGAAGUGGACUCUAAGAGGACUACUAAUUGAGUUAAGGGAUCAAAAUGUCUCAAUUAUUUUAUAGCUAAGUUCUUCCAUUUUUUAACUAUUGCAUUUUGUUAUUUUAUUAAUACUAAUUAAUGAAAUGCAAUUCGAUACUUCAUUUCGAAACUCCAUUGUAUUCCAGUGGUGGAAUAUAAUAUUGAAAAAAAAAAUACUCUUUAAAUCAAACAAAUAUUUGAAUUGUUCCCAUCUUAUUGUCCCGGGAAUACAGAUAAUUGGAAACGGAUUACUACUCCAAACUUAAUUCUUUUUAAGAUUUAUAUUUCGAUGAACUGGUUACCACCAAUCUUUUCUAAAUAUGAAAAACUUUUUCAUCGAAUCCCCCGAUCAGUUGUCAAUUAUUUAAUCAAUUUAAUCAAUUCAUUUUUUUGGAAUACUAAAAAUAAAAAGAUUAUUUUUUUUUUUUUAUCGGGAUUAUGAAAAGAAUGUGAAAUCUAAAAAUUCAAAUAAAAAGAAUAAAAAUGUAUUUUUGAUUAUUUCAGAUUGAUUGGAACCAAUACAAAUAUAAUAGAUUAGAUCAAACAAAGAAAAAAUGUGGACACUAUGGAAUUGAGAUUCCAUAGAUAUCUAUAGAUAUACCCAUAUGAAAAGAAAUAUUUAAAUUGGUCCAUCCAUAUUAUAUUAAACUUCUUUUUUUUUAAGUAAAACAUUCCAUUUUUACCAUACCAUAAUAAAUAGUAUAGUAGAAAGAAAUAGAUUUGAUUUCUUUCUACUAUAUACUAUAGUAUAUGGAUUUCAUAGAAUUCUGCUGAUUGUAGUCUGAUCAUUUUAUUUAAAAGAAAGACCCGAAAUGGAAACCCUUUUUUCUUUAUUCAAUCAUUGUUAUCGCAUUGAUAAGAAAUCAGAAGUCAUGUUUAAUUAAAAUUAGUUACUUUGACUUACCGUUUUUACGUAAAUUAUAAGUAAAAAGGCAGUAGGAACUAGAAUGAAGAGUGCAGUAGCUAUAAAUGCGAGAAUAUUGACUUCCAUAAUCUCUAUGUUUUCUUUCUCUUUUAUUUCGAAUAAAUACUUCGGGAUUUAAUCCCAUAGAAAUGAAAAAUCUUUCGUCAGUAAAUUCAGUGGUAUAAAUUUUAUCUCGAUGAUAUAAAAUCGGAUCAAUAUCACGAAUAACAAUAUCUGAGCUAUCAAAUCAAUUCAUCGUCGAGAAUUAAAUAGUAUAACAUAGGAAGAUCUUUUAUCCAUAACCAAAAAAAAAAAAAAAUUCUUUCUGAUGCAAUGAAAAAUUCCUUUUUCUUUCUUCGUCCGAACCUUUACCUUAAACUAAAAAAGAAAAAAGGAAUCCCUGUUAGAAAAGAAAUGAGAUUUUUUUUUCUUUUUAUCCCUUUCACAUACGAAAUCAAUUGAUAUUUUUUGGAUUUGUAUCCAUCGGGACUGACGGGACUCGAACCCGCAGCUUCCGCCUUGACAGGGCGGUGCUCUGACCAAUUGAACUACAAUCCCAGGGAAAAAGUUGUAUAGCNNNNNNNNNNNNNNNNNNNNNNNNNNNNNNNNNNNNNNNNNNNNNNNNNNNNNNNNNNNNNNNNNNNNNNNNNNNNNNNNNNNNNNNNNNNNNNNNNNNNAAGCUUUGAAGCCUACUAGAGGCGUGGCUAAGGAUGGUAAGUGCUUCUAUUGCAACAACACAGGGCAUUGGAAGCGAAACUGUCCAAAGUAUCUGGAAGAUAAGAAGAAUGGAAAUAUUCCUACUACUUCUGCAGGUAUUUUUGUUAUAGAAAUUAAUAUGUCUACUUCUACAUCAUGGGUAUUAGAUACUGGAUGUGGUUCUCAUAUUUGUACUGAUGUGCAGGGUCUGAGAAAGAGUAGAGCAUUGGCAAAAGGCGAGGUCGAUCUUAGAGUUGGCAAUGGAGCAAAGGUUGCUGCUUUAGCUGUUGGAACUUAUGUAUUGACCUUACCUAGUGGUCUUUUACUUAAUUUAGAAAACUGCUAUUAUGUACCUUCCAUUAGCAGGAAUAUUAUUUCAAUUUCUUGUUUGGACAAGGCUGGUUUUUAUUUUACAAUAAAGAACAAAUGUUGUUCCGUUUAUUUGGAUAAUAUUCUUUAUGCUAACGCAAAUUUGAGUAAUGGACUUUACGUCCUAGAUCUCGAUAUGCCUAUCUAUAACAUUAAUGCUAAAAGGUUGAAACCUAAUGAGUUGAAUCCAACUUACCUUUGGCAUUGUCGUUUAGGACAUAUAAAUGAGAAUCGCAUUUCCAAACUCCAUAAAGAUGGAUUUUUGGAUUCUUUUGAUUUUGAAUCAUAUGAAACAUGUCGAUCUUGUUUAUUGGGAAAAAUGACAAAAGCUCCAUUUACCGGUCAAGGUGAAAGGGCUAGUGAUCUUUUAGGUCUCAUACAUACUGAUGUGUGUGGACCCCUAAACAUAACUGCUAGAGGAGGCUUUCACUACUUCAUUACAUUCACUGAUGACUUUAGUAGAUUUGGAUAUGUGUAUCUAAUGAAACAUAAAUCUGAAUCAUUUACUUUCUUCAAAGAAUUUCAAAAUGAAGUAGAAAACCAACUAGGCAAGAAAAUCAAAAUGCUUCGAUCUGAUCGAGGUGGAGAAUAUUUGAGCUUAGAGUUUGACAAUCAUCUUAAAGAAUGUGGGAUACUGUCCCAACUCACACCUCCUGGAACACCGCAAUGGAACGGUGUGUCUGAAAGGAGAAAUCGAACCUUGUUAGACAUGGUCCGAUCUAUGAUGAGUCAUGCUGAACUUCCAAACUUCUUAUGGGGGUACGCCUUAUUAACUGCAGCUUACACACUUAACCGAGUUCAAUCUAAAGCGGUAGAAAAGACACCAUAUGAGAUAUGGAAUGGUCGAAAACCCAAUGUGGGACAUUUUAAGAUUUGGGGUUGUGAAGCUUAUAUAAAACGACUUAUGUCUACUAAGCUUGAACAAAAAUCUGAAAAAUGUUUCUUUGUGGGAUAUCCUAAAGAAACUAGGGGAUACUACUUUUACAAACCACCUGAAGGCACAAUUGUUGUUGCCAGAACUGGAGUCUUCCUUGAGAAGGAUUUUGUCUCCAGGAGAAUCAGUGGGAGCAAAGUAGAUCUUGAAGAAAUUCAAGACCCACAGAGUAAUGAAAUACCACAAGAGGAACAAGGACAGGAUACACAAACUGUUAUGACAGAAAAUCCUAUCCCAGUAACACAAGAACCACGUAGGUCUAGCAGGAUACGUCAAGAACCCGAAAGAUAUGGGUAUCUCAUAUCACAAGAGGGUGAUGUAUUGCUCAUGGACCAAGAUGAGCCUGUGACUUACACGGAGGCCAUUACUGGCCCCGAAUCUGAGAAGUGGCUUGAAGCCAUGAAAUCUGAAAUGGAUUCCAUGUACACAAAUCAAGUUUGGACCUUGAUUGAUGCACCUGAAGGAAUUAAUCCUAUAGGAUGCAAGUGGGUUUUCAAAAAGAAAAUUGACAUGGAUGGAAAGGUUAGUACCUACAAAGCGCGAUUGGUUGCUAAAGGCUUCAAACAAAUUCAUGGUGUAGACUAUGAUGAAACCUUUUCACCAGUUGCAAUGAUUAAAUCCAUUCGGAUCUUACUUGCUAUCGCAGCACACCAUGAUUAUGAAAUCUGGCAAAUGGAUGUCAAAACUGCUUUCCUUAAUGGAAAUCUUCUUGAGGAUGUGUACAUGACACAACCUGAAGCUUUUGGCGAUCCUAAAGCAACCAAAAAGGUAUGCAAGUUGCAGCGAUCAGUCUAUGGAUUGAAGCAAGCUUCUAGAAGUUGGAAUCUUCGCUUUGAUGAAACUGUGCAACAGUAUGGAUUCAUUAAAAAUGAAGAUGAGCCUUGUGUUUACAAGAAGGUUAGUGGGAGCAUAGUUUCAUUUCUGAUUUUAUAUGUGGAUGACAUAUUAUUAAUCGGAAAUGACAUCCCUACAUUACAAGCAAUCAAAACUUGGUUAGGGAAAUGCUUUUCUACGAAAGACUUAGGUGAAGCCGCCUAUAUAUUAGGAAUCAGGAUCUAUAGAGAUAGAUCACAAAGAUUGCUUGGCUUAAGUCAGGGUACAUAUAUAGACAAAGUCCUGAGACGUUUCAAUAUGCAUGAUUCCAAGAACGGAUUCAUUCCUAUGUCGUCAGGAAUAAAUCUAUCAAAGACUCAAUUCCCUUCGACUAAUGACGAAAGGGAUCGAAUGCGUGAUAUUCCAUAUGCUUCGGCAAUUGGUUCUAUCAUGUAUGCUAUGAUAUGUACUCGACCAGAUGUCUCGUAUGCUUUAAGUGCUACGAGCAGAUACCAGUCUAAUCCUGGCAACGAUCAUUGGAUUGCUGUCAAGAAUAUCCUUAAGUACUUGAGAAGAACUAAGGAUACCUUCUUGAUCUAUGGAGGUCAAGAAGAGCUCUCUGUAAUUGGUUACACUAAUGCUAGUUUUCAGACCGAUCAUGAUGACUUUAGAUCGCAAUCUGGAUAUGUGUUUUGCUUAAAUGGCGGUGCUGUGAGCUGGAAAAGUUCAAAGCAAGAAACAGUCGCUGAUUCUACAACUGAAGCCGAGUAUAUUGCUGCAUCCAAUGCCGCAAAAGAAGCUGUUUGGAUUAAGAAAUUCAUUUCUGAUCUUGGAAUAGUUCCAAGUAUUGUGGAUCCCAUUGCAUUACUAUGUGAUAACAAUGGUGCAAUCGCACAAGCCAAAGAACCUAGAUCUCACCAGAAAUCCAAACACAUACAAAGGCGUUAUCAUCUUAUUCGAGAGAUUAUCGAAAGAGGAGAUGUUAAAAUAUGCAAAGUACCAACAUUUGACAAUGUCGCUGAUCCACUUACUAAAGCUCUUGCCCAGCAGAAGCAUGAUGGUCAAACUAGAUCUAUGGGUAUUAGGUUUAUGCCUAAUUGGCUCUAGUGCUAGUGGGAGAUUGUUGGUGUAAGCCCUAGAGGCCAAUAGUUUAUGUUAAAUCUAUCUUAUGUAUCAUGACUUUUAUUAUUGAAUAAUAUAUGGCACUCUUUAUUACAUUUAGAUAAUGUUAAUAAAGUCCUUAGAAUAGAUAGUUCGUGUAAUAAUAUAUUAAGUGUGACUUAAUCAUGAGAUUACAUUAUCUUAUAGAACGCUAUUCUUAAAUGUAUCCGUAGUCAAAGCUUUAAUAUGAAUAAAGGAUAAUAAUAAAGCGUCGAGACUAUUAUGUAUGUAGACUGAUGAUCGCAUCUCAUGGGUCAUAGAUAUGAGAUAUUAAGUCUAUACAUAGAUAUAAAUAUUAGAAGUAAUAUUUAUAUUGGAUUCACCCACUGUGAGAAUACUACAUAGUAAGUUAUGAAAUUGUCAUAAGAUAUUCUCACAAUGAUAAUAAUGUAUAUUGCUCUUAGACCUGAAACCACUAUGAUCUCUAGAUGUGGACUCAAGUGCUUUGUUGCCAUUCUAACGUUGUCUGUAAAAGGAUAACAAUAACGUUGGUUGAUGGGUACUUGAUGAAUCAUGCUGAGGGGCAUGAGUGUUCUAGAUGGGAUUUGUCCCUCCUCAUAAACAGGAGAUAUAUCUUUAGGCCUCUUGAUGAAAUAUGACUAUAAAUAUGCAUGGCCAUGCCGAACUAAGUCAAUAUAAGAUAUUGGACUUAUUCGUUAAAUAGUAUAUUUCGGAAUCAAGAUAAAUAAACAUUGAUCUAUACAAGGGUGACACUAACUAUGCCUUGAGAUCAAUGAAGAUAUUGAGACAAAGGAGUAAUUAUACACAUAUGUGUUAUCAUGAAAGGUUUCGUCAGAUCACUUGACAUUCUUGUCACUUGGGUAGCAAUGAUGUGUUGCUAGAUACCGCUCAUUGUUUAUGGUAUUAGAUAUUAGAUUUAAUAUCAUUGCCAACGUGACUAGAACCUAAAGGGUCACACACAAAGAACAGUCAAAAGAGAUAUAUAUAAGUACGACUUAUAUAAAGGGUGCGCUUAGUAAAUAAUGCUAAUGAUUUAGCAAAAUUUGCUAAACUCGUAUUGGGCUUAGUGAAGUCAAAAACGAGUUUGACUUGCAAAGCACAUAGGGAGUUCUAUAAAUAGAAACCUAGUGCAAUAGUUUGCGGUUACGUUUUUCCUUGCAGAAACCCUAGUUCUCUGACUUCCGUCUUCUUGGCUAGCACCGAGGUUUUGGAGGAGCACUGUUCGUGUGGACUCAAUAGAGGCUCUGCUGUUUGCUUGGCUGUGAUCGAGAUUCCAGUUCGCAGAUUCCACCGAUCGUUUUCAGACUUUCAUUCUAAGGUAACAAUCGAAUCACUGGUUCAAGUUUCAAUUCGUAAUGAUCCAAGGAAAGUAAAUCGAAAUUUUAUUCCGCUGCUUAUUCUGUUAAUGUCGAUUUACCUUCAUGGUGUAGGAUGUGCAUUGAAGUCUAAGAAGCUGACUCCAAAGUUCAUUGGUCCGUAUCAGAUAUCAGAGAGGGUUGGAACAGUGGCAUACAGAGUGGGUUUGCCACCACAUCUUUCGAAUUUGCAUGAUGUGUUUCAUGUGUUCCAAGAGAUGAUGUGCAAGUUAGAGACAACCUUACAGUUGAGAAUUGAAGACCGUGAGGUGAAGAAGUUGAGAGGCAAGGAUAUACCUCUCGUGAAGGUUGUUUGGGGUGGAGUAACCGGUGAAAGUUUGACUUGGGAGCUGGAGAGUAAGAUGCGGGAGUCGUAUCCAAAGUUGUUUUCUUGAGGUAAUAUUUCGAGGAGGAAAUUCUCUAAGUUGGAGAGAGUUGUAACGCCCUAGUCGUUGUUUUAUUUAUUUUUGAUUUAUUUAGAGUCUUUUAUAUGAUUUUUAAUAAUAUUAGUGGUUUAUGUGGUGUGUUAUAUUUUAUUAUAUAGUUUAUUUUAAUAUUAAUUAGAAUAAUUUAAGAAUUAUUAUUAUUUUGGAGGUUGGGGAGUUAAUUAGGAAUUAAUAGAAGGGUUAAUAGUGUUUUACCCCCCUGUAAUAUAUGUCAUUUCCGGUUUUCCCCCCUGUAAAAUUUUUUGUUUAGUUUUCGUCCUUAUAAUUUAAAGAUUUUUUGGUUUUGGACCUUCGUGACAAAUUUCGCUCCCCGUAAAAUUUUCAAAUUUCGAUUUACCCCCCUGUAAUUUGAGAAAGUUUCGAUUUACCCCCUUGCUAAUUUGAGCAAAUUUCGGUUUACUCCCCUGCCAUAUCAUCUAUUUUGUACAGUCAAAAUUCAUGAAGGUCCAAAACCAGAAAUCUUCAAAUUACAAGGAUGAAAACUAAACAAAAAAUUUUACAGGGGGAAUACCGGAAAUGACCAAUAUUACAGGGGGGUAAAGCACUAUUAACCCUUAAUAGAAUUAAGGGGAGUUUAAUGAAAUAAAGGAAAGUUAUAUUUUGGGGAGUUAGGAAAAGAGAAGUCAGAAACGUUUUCACGUGAAAGCAGAACUUUUGGGAGAAAAGGGAGAAGAGUAAGUAGAGCCAAGCGAAUCCGAUCGUUGUGCAUUUUUCUUCUGGAUUAAGGUAAGGGUGAGGUUUGCUUCAAUAGUGUAGUUAUUGAAUUCUGAUUUUGGGUUUAACAAGUUUUGGUAGGAAUUGGGAAUUUUAGGUUUAUGAUGAAUUAUUGAGGUUUGGGUGUAGAGAUUGUUGUUUUGAUGUUAGAAUUAGGUUCUGGUUGCAUACAGCACUUAGUUUUGCAUCUGUAAACUAAUUUGGGGAGUGAAUUGGAGGAAAUGCGAUUUUUGGGGAAAAACCUGCAUUCUGCCCGUGCUGACAUUCAUCGCUCGCCCUGGCGAGUAGCUCGUCUCGCCUCGCGAGUGAGCAAUCUUCAUAGCCCGCCUCGCGAGCAGAACCCCUCACCAUGGCGAGCAAGUGCCUGAGAGAUCAUGAUUUUUGAAUUGUUGUUAUAAGCCGUAUUUUGGUUAGUUUUGAGUGCCUAAAUGAUUUUAGAGAGGACUGGGUCAAUUUUCAGAUUAAAAAGAUGAAUAGGGAGCUUAAAAAUGAAGAUUUAGUGAGAAAAAUGUCAAAACUCCCGAGAGCACCCUUUUUCUCAUUCGCCUUGAGUUCGCCACGGCGAGCAACCCAAUCCUUGAGUUCGCCAUAGCGAGUGGAUGUACUCGCGAGGCGAUUUGCCCAGAUUUUAAGUUGUUUAUUCUAUUGUGAAUGUUGUUGAAUGAUCUUGAUGUUUAAGCAUGAUUAUGAUUAAUUGUGCAUUUUUCUGGAAUUGUUGGAUUGAAUUAUACUGAUCUGUUGUUGACUGUGAUGUAUGCUUUUAUUUAAUUAAAUCAUACAUGUUGUUGAAUUGUGGGUUGUGAGUCAUAUACGUAUAUAUGCAUUUGUCAAGUUGUAUGUAGAUAUACACAAGUGGAGUCAAUUGCAUAAGCAUAUAAAGCGGGAGGGCUCUUUCCCUGGAACGCCUUUUCGUUCAAAGUGGGAGGACUCAUGUCCUGGAACACUUAUUGUUCAAAACGGUGAGGGCUUAUGCCCUGAUGAAUGCUUUAACCAUUCAAUAUUCGGUGAGAGCUACUGUAACGCCCUACUUCUAUUAAAGCAAUUAAACAUGCGAAUAAUACAUUUAUUCAAGAAAUAGAGGCUACGCCACAUUCAAAAUUCAAAAACCGAUAGACAUAUAUAUAAACCUCAACAGUCGCAGCGGAAUAUAAACCAGAAUAAAUUUAAAUAUACAUAUUAUGAAUCAAUAAAUUACAUCGACAUAGAUGCAUCAAAAAUCCCAACAAACGGGUCAUCUCCAAACAUAACAAAAACCAAAGUAAAAGAUAAUAUAGACCAACACAACUAAGCCUAGAUCAGAGCCGACUAAACAUCUAAACACCGAUAUCGGAGAAAGCUCCAGAUAUCCACCAAGCACAAGAACUCACCAAGCAACUAAACCUGCACAACGUCUACCCAUCCAUACAGAUAGGCAGGCGGUCCAUAACAAAUCCACUGGGGGUAAGUAUUACAUUAUCAUAAUCCAAAUAACAAUUAACAUGAAUAUUUCAAUUUAAACAUCAUGCACUUGAUCAAUAAUAAUAUUCUCAUAUCAAUACUUACAUCAAACCCCAAUAUCUCACAUCAAUAAUCACCAAUCACAUGUGUCAUGAACAAAUAUCAAUUCACAAUUAUUCAUACACAAUCACCAAUCAUAUACAUCAUGAACAAUCACCAAUCAUAUUUCAUGAACAAUCACCAAUCACAUGUAUCAUGAACAAAUAUCAAUUCACAAAUAUUCAUUCACAAUCACCAAUCACAAACAUCAUCAAUAAUCAUUCAUCUCAUUUCAUCACCAAUCACAUAUGUCACAUAAGACUCAUGUUAUGAUUUGCACUUAUUGACGCAUAAAUGCAUGUGGUACCAAAUCUCCAAAAAGGUCGUCACCCAUAUCCAGAUCUCAAAAGAUCCCUUCCAGGCCGAAGCCCUAUAACGAAUAAAACAUCGUAUCCAGAUCUCAAAAGAUCUCUGCUAGACCGAAGUCCAAAACUAGAUCUCAAAAGAUCUCUGCCAGGCCGAAGCCCUAUAACGAAUAAAAUAUCGUAUCUCAACACGACUAUGAUGCAUGGACAUGUAUAAGGACUCGAUAAUGCGACAACAAUUCACAAUCUCAACUCAAUAUAUAGGACAACACCCAAUUAUAUUGAUUAUCUCCACAACAUUGCAUUAUCAAGAAAACAUGCCCACACAAAUAAAUCAUAGUAUUCAUCAUCACACAUCAACAUGAUUAUCAAUAAUCAACAAUGUCAUUCAACAUCAACUAUCACAUAUAGUUUCACCAUUUCAACCAUUCUCAUAUUCCAAGUAAUAGGGAAAACAACAUAUCAUGAUAAAUAUCAUAUCCAACAUAUAACCAUUCAUAAUCAACUAUCACAUAUAGUUUCACCAUUCAAGCAUUCCUUACAUUCUAAGUAAGAUAACAUACAACAUCUCUUGAUAAACAUCAUAUCCAAUACAAUCACUCAUUCAUACAACUUCACUUAGCCAUACAAGAAUAAUCUCAAUAACUCACAAGACAAUUUGCUAAAGAAACAUUUCCGACAAAAAUCCAAAUCAUAUGGCAAACGGCCAACAUUGAUAAUUUUUAAAGCUAGGCAACUUAUUUAAGUUUGAAAUCCUACAAUUCAAUCUUAAUCAAUCAUGUAGUCAAGGACUUAAGCCACUUGCAAACUAUUAGAAAUUAGUUCAAAGGAUAGCUUAAGUUCGUAUGAGAAAUUCCAAGACAAAACAACAUUUAGCUGAAAACCCGUUUUCACCGAUUCAACUUUGCCCAAAAUAUUUCUUAAACCAUCAACACAUUCACAUUCCCAAUAUCAAGUUUGGAAAAGUUCCACGGCUCAUAGAAAAAGUUAUGAUAAGUUUUCACAAAACUCCACAUGACCCAUGUGUAGUAAUUUAAUCAUAACUCAAGUUCUAAAAAUCAUUUGGACCUCAAAUCAACGCCAUUAGAAAGCUAACAAAAUUAUCUAAAACUUUCAUGUUUACAUCAAAAUCCAAUUCAAAGCGGAAAGGGGUGAAAAAUAGCAAAAUAUGCAGGAUCUGGUUCGCAGAAAUCGUGUCACGAUUUUACGUCCAGAAACACUGAAUUUUCGGCCAACAAAAUCGUGACACGCUUGCCAAAUUGUGACACGUUUUGCCAGCAUCAGGUCCAGAAAUCAGUUCUUCAAAAAGUGCGUUUUUCACCAUUUCGCGCGUAAAAUCCAAACCGUUAAUCAAAUUUUGAUACCGUUUUCGCCUACACGCUCUUGACACUUGACUCUAACAUAAUCUACAAAAAUUUCAUGUUUCAACCAUCCCAAAAGUCAUUUUCCAAAACCUCACAUAAUCACUUAUUGGCGAAAACGCUUAAACAUCGACAUUUCACUCGAAAAACCCGUUUUCUUCCAAACGACUCAACUAACAUAACCACAACAUGAAAACAGAAAAUCUCAUAGGUUCAAUUCAUCCAACAAUAACAAAAUUUCAGUCAACAACCAUAUAUAUAUCAAAGUUCACUUUGGUCCUUCACAUGAACACUUAACUCAACUUCACCAAUUUCACAAAACCACCAACAACAAUUUAUUUCUCAUCAUCAAUUCACAAUUAAGUAUAUCCAAAUCAUGAUUCACUCACAAUAGCAUUAUUUAACAAUAACCACAUCAAUGGAAUAUGAAUCACAUCUCAUUUCAAUCAAAACAUAUCAAAUUUCAUCAAUUAAGCAUAAUUUCAUAACUUAACAUUUAUACAUACUUUGAAACAUGUAAUUUCACCCACAAACAUACCAUAAUCAUCAAUUCAUGCACAAGAAAAUAGCAUCACAGCAAGAGCACGAAUUUAGCAACAAUUGUUCAUCAACCCAUUUUCAUACAACAUGAGAAAAUGCAAAAAUUGUACAUGAUUAUGAUAAUAACUAACCCCCUUACCUUGAAGAAGAUUAACCCUAAUUCUUGCUUCAAUUCAGCUCCUAGCUUACCCCAAUUGAUUCCUCAAGCUAUUCUCUUCAAAACCCUUGUUCUUCUCUUCACCUCUUUCUCUCUCUACCUCUCUCUCUAGGAAAAUAUUUUGUGAAGUGAAUGAAUGAUAUUUUCUAUGACAAUCCUAAUGUUAUCUCCCUUAAUGGGCUCAAUUCCAAAUUCUAAUGGGCCUAACCCAUUCUAACAUAAUUCUAAAAAGUUUCUAUACACUCAACGGUAAUUACUAACAACGGUAAAAUAUAACCAACGGUCACUAACGGUAAAAACUAAUCACUACACUAGUAACUUAGUAAAAUAAGGGUUCUCACUAAUUAUUAAAAUAAUUCUCACCAAAAUUACCAUUUUACACUUACCCGCCAAAUGACCAAAAUACCCUUAUAUUACGGUAAUCCAUGUAAAUGCACCCAAUGACAAUUAAAUACACACAAGCACAAUUAAUCACACACAAUUACACAAUAAAAGUAAUUAAAAGAAAACUAGCUAAAAAUUGGGCUGUUACAACUGCCCUGUAAAUUGGUACCACAUGCAUGUGCAUUGUCGAGGAGUCUUAGUGGUGUUGUCGAGUAGUUGCAUGAGUCAUGUUAUUGGUUGUGAUUACCAUUGUUGUUGAUGUUGCUGUUUAUGAAGUAUAUGUUCAUAAUGAAUAACUAUUAUUAUGUUAGGGUGUUAGAUUCAAUUGAUGAAUUUUGUAUCUAUAUUUAUUGUUGUGAAUCUCACCCCUUCUGCUUGAAAACGUUGCCCUUCCUAUGGGUAACUUGCAGGUGAUCCUAAGUAGUAGGUGUUGGCUCAAUGUCUAGGGCUCUGAUACGUACGGGAUGAGAUUUAUUUGCUUAUUUUCAUUCCUAUGUAUCAAAUUUUGGAACAUGUUGAUGUAGCCCUUUGUUUGGUUGUUGAAGUAAUUGAUGAGGCUUUUAUGCCAAGAUUAUUUAUUGGAGAAUUAAUAUGUUGGAUGUUGUUGUUAUUUAAAUGAAAAUAUUCCGCUGCAAGGUUUUGGUAAAACUAUUAAGUUGUUGUUUUAUUAAAUAGUUUUAUAUUCUAUUUAAGAAAUUUUGAAAAGUAGUGUGACAUGUCCGUUUGGGAUAUACUCUGAUGUAUGUUUAUUUAUUAUUUAAUUGCUUUGGGAUAACAGGGUGUUACAGCAUCUGCAUAUACACAUCAUAGGCCAAUCCCAACUAAUUCCAAAAUUCACCUAAGUUCGUCUCGCUUUAUCAUUUUUCAAAAGAAUUGAAUUUUUUAAAGCAAAACCAAUUUAAAGCUCAUGAAUGUCAUUCAAAUCUAUUUUAUAAAGCAUGGUUAUAAUAAACAUCCUUACCUAUCCUUUUCCCUUAAGAAAAACGAGUUUCGGAAAAUUAUGUGUUCUAAGCAUUUUUCAAAAAGUUUGAUUUGAUUUACAAAACAUAGUUCAAUUCAAUCCAUUUAAUGAAUUAUCAGAUUACUAAUUCACUAUAAAUACAAGAUAGCAUGGAUACCUAGGGAGAUAAAAUUUCAAAGAAACGGCGCCACAAUCUUUUUGCAAUUUUCAAAGAUAGCGCAUCUCAACACAUUUAUAAGGGUUUUAUCAGAGGAAGGGUUUGAUCAGCCCACUUCAAAUUGAUAAGCCCACUUCAUUAAGACUCCUAUAAAGCCUCGUACUUUGACUAUUACUUUUCUCACCAUAUGUGUUUCUCACACGCCCUAUUUUUUUCAAAAAAUAACACUCGGAUAUUAAAAUCCAAAAUGUGUUUUACCUUUGAUUUGGGGUGGGAUGGGCGUGGGAAAAAUGAGUUUUUCAUAAAUUUGGAUUCUAUAAUCCGAAAAUCUAAAAAAAAAAUUGGGUGUGUUCCUUUCUUUUUUCUAAAGCUCCUUGUAACAUGGAUAACCACUUAUAAAAUCUGAAAUCUCAUGGGUAAAUUUGUAAAAAAAAAAAACAAAAAAAAAAAAGGCCUGCGAGAAGGUAAAUUUAUAUUUUUUUAAAAAAUAAAUAUUGUUUAUUGGAAGAAAAGUGUUUCUUUCAGAAUUUCUUUUAAGAAAAUAAAUUUGUUUGGAGCAAAAUAAUAUUUUUUUUAGUGAGUAUAUGCAUUUUUUUGUUGAGAAAAAAUUUUCCACUAGAUUUUUUUUAGGGAUAAGAGGAUAUAUAUAUAUAUAUAUUAAACAUUUAUAACUUGGAUUCAUCGGAUAAAGUUUGUUCUACUAAGGAACUUGGUGGCUUGGGGGUUAGAAAGCUUAUGGAGUUUAAUGUGGUAUUGGAGGUUGUAUGUUCAUCAGGGUGGGUUGUGGUUGAAGGUCGUGUCCGCUAAAUAUGGGGUUGAAGAGAGUCUUGUUUGGAGGCAAGCGAGACAUAUGUUAGUUUGGUGGAAUGAUUUGUGUCUUAUUAAUGAGGGAGUGGAAGGUGGUGAGGAGAGUUGGUUUAAGGAAAGGGUGGAGCGCUUAGCUGGCAAUGGGGAAAUCGCAUCCUUUUGGUGUGAUCCUUGGUUUAAUGAUAGGUGCUUACGGUUUAGAUUUAGGCGGUAGUUUGAUUUAAGUGUUAAUAGUAGUGUUACUAUAUCCGAGAUGCAGAGGCAAGGCCGGGGGGUUGAUGGGCAAGGGUGGGCGUGGUGGAGAAAGAGUUUGUUUGCUUGGGAAGGAAGAACAGUUGCACUAGUACUGUAUUUGUCUUUUAGAUAACAUUGUUUGCAUGCAAUGGAUACAUGGUUUUGGUAUCAUAAUACAUAUGAGAGGUAUACUGUAAAAGGUGCUUAUCAGAUCAUUACACAGACCCAGCAGCCUCAUCAUGAUAUUCAUGUAAAUUUAAUCUGGAACACAGAUAUGCCUCUGAAAGUUUCAUUAUUUGCUUCGAGAAUUUUUAAUAAAAGGAUUUCAACAAAGAGUAAUUUAUUUUGUCGUGGAGGGUUGCCUGUAGGAUCGUUGGUAUGUUUUGGAGGUUGUGGGAAGGAGGAAUAUCGUAAUCACCUUUUUCUUGGUUGUGAUUUCUUCGGUAGUAUUGGCAUUGUGUUCUUAGACGGUUGGGAAUCUCCCACUACAAGAAUUUUGGUUAUUAUUGGUAGAAUUAAUCCCUAGUAAUGAAAGAAAUACCUCAGUAAUAAUGGCAUCAGUAAUGUUACUGGCGGAAUUUUCCCUCAGUAAUAGAAAGGUAGUUCUGACAAAGCAUUACUGAGGGAUUGUUCCGCCAGUAAUUACCAAGGGAAUAAUCCCUCAGUAAUGCAGUAUCAGAUUUGUCAUAUUAUUACUAACGGAUUUAUCCCCCAGUAAUGUUAAUCAAAUUUGCAUUAUUGACGGAAAUUUCCGUCAGUAAUGUACUUCACCCUUUUUUUAUUAUCCCUUCCCACCUUUUGAUUUUAAUUAGAGAAAUAAAAUUAAAUAAACACAAAUAAAUUUAAGAAAUAAUUUUUUUUAUUUAAUAAGAUAAAUUAAUUAAACCACAUAUCAUUAUAAUAUCUGUACAAUAGAUAAAUAAUUUUCAUACAAAAUCAUAAAUAUUUUAGCUUAAUCUUUAAACUACAUCAACUUCAUCAUUUAUAAAGUAUAAUCAUACAUGCAACUUCGCUCAUCUCACAUGAAGCAUAUACUUCACAUAACGCACGUAAUUCAUCUAAUUCACAUCAAUCAUAUGGAUCAUAUAAACUCUUGCCUAAUUAACUCAACAAAUAUAAUUUAUCAUUUCAAAGUAUUGGCAAGGAAAUCAUCAUCAUCAAAAUCAAAGGAGGCACCAAAUUAACACACAUGAUUCAUACUUCAUUACUAUCACCCAAAGCAACUAUCAUAAAGUAAAAUUACAAAGCGUACAAGCAUCACCAAAGAUAACAAACAUCUUCAUGUGCACAUCUCUACACAAUUCACAUUAUUCACCGAUCACAUAAAUCACCAAAUUCAUAUAAUUCACCAAUCACAAUUCAUAUAAUUCACCAAGUUUCACCAAUGCACAUAAUCACCAAAUCACAAAGUCAAGUAUGACAUAAUUUCAACAAACAUCAAAUGCAUGGAAUUUUCUAGACUCUUGUCUAGAUGCAUGUGGUAUCAUUAGGAUUUCAGAGAUAAUUUUACCGUAUUGAAUCCACUAUGCAAACCCCUCCGACUACGUAUAAACAUAACUCCCUCCGGUUAUGUUCCCACCAAGACUCGAUAUGACAAUGAAUGCAUGGACAUGUAAGCAAAGACCCGACAAUGUUAUAAAUUACAACAUUAUAUUAUAUAACCCCUCCAUCAUAUAAUAUUCCCACCAAGAACCCACCAUUGCAUCAUAAAGUAUUUACAUUCAUACAUUUCAACAAGACAUAUUCACAAGAGCCAUAAAUAUAUUCCACAUCAACAUUCAUUCACCAUAAGUAAAACACAAUCAUCUCAUAAAUCACAAUUUCACAUCAAAGGCGUCAUAUAGUCAAAUCUUGAUAAACAACAUAUCAAACACCUAAUAACCAUUGAUUCAUUCUUUUUCCAUCAUAUCAUCAUGAAUAAAAAGUCAAUUAUAAGUCAUUCAACCAUAAAACACCAUUUUUACAAAGUUCGUCUAUUUUCUUAACUUUCAAUAUUUUCUAAGUAAUUCAACAAAAUAAGGUAAACAUAUUCAAACACCUCAACAAAGCAUAUAUACUACUCACAUAUGAUCACAAUAGCAUCUGCAUAUACGCAUCAUAGGCCAAUUCCAACUAAUUCCAAAAUUCACCUAAGUUCGUCCCACUUUAUCAUUUUUCAAAAGAAUUGAAUUUUUCAAAGCAAAACCAAUUUAAAGCUAAUGAAUGUCAUUCAAAUCUAUUUUAUAAAGCAUGGUUAUAAUAAACAUCCUUAACCCUAUCAUUUUCCCUUAAGAAAAACGAGUUUCGAAAAAUUAUGCGUUCUGAGCAUUUUUCAAAAAGUUUGAUUUGAUUUACAAAACAUAGUUCAAUUCAAUCCAUUUAAUGAAUUAUCAGAUUACUAAUUCUCUAUAAAUGCAAGAUAGCAUGGAUACCUAGGGAGAUAAAAUUUCAAAGAAACGGCGACACAAUCUUUUUGCAAUUUUCAAAGUGAGCGCAUCUUAACACAUUUAUAAGGGUUUUAUCAGAGGAAGGGUUUGAUCAGCCCACUUCAAAUUGAUAAGCCCACUUCAUUAAGACUCCUAUAAAGCCCCGUAGUGUUACUAUAUUCGAGAUGCAGAGGCAAGGCCGGGGGGUUGAUAGGCAAGGGUGGGCGUGGUGGAGAAAGAGUUUGUUUGCUUUGGAAGGAAGAACAGUUGCACUAGUACUGUAUUUGUCUUUUAGAUAACAUUGCUUUGCAUGCAACGGAUACAUGGGUUUGGUAUCAUAAUACAUAUGAGGGGUAUACUGUAAAAGGUGCUUAUCAGAUCAUUGCACAGACCCAGCAGCCUCAUCAUGAUAUUCAUGUAGAUUUAAUCUGGAACACAAAUGUGCCUCUGAAAGUUUCAUUAUUUGCUUGGAGAAUUUUUAAUAAAAGGAUUUCAACAAAGAAUAAUUUAUUUUGUCGUGGAGUGUUGCAGGAUCGUUGGUAUAUUUUGGAGGUUGUGGGAAGGAGGAAUAUAUUAAACACCUUUUGCUUGGUAGUGAUUUCUUCGACAGUAUUACAUUGUGUUCUUAGAUGGUCGGUAAUCUCCCACUAUAAGAAUUUUGGCUAUUAUUGGCAGAAUUAAUCUCUCGGUAAUGAAAGAAAUCCCUCAGUAAUACUGGCGUCAGUAAAGUCACUGGCGAAAUUUUUCAUUAGUAAUAGAAAGGUAGUUCUGACAAAGCAGUACUGAGGGAUUAUUCCCUCAGUAAUUACUGAGGGAUUGUUCCACCAGUAAUUACCGAGGGAAUAAUCCCUCAGUAAUCAGAUUUGUCAUAUUAUUACUAACGGAUUUAUUCCCCUGAUAAUGUCAUCGAAUCUGCAUUAUUGACGGAAAUUUCCGCCAGUAAUGUACUUCACCCUUUUUUUAUUAUCCCUUCCCACCUUUUGAUUUUAAUUAGAGAAAUAAAAUUAAAUAAAUUAAAGAAAUAAUUUUUUUUAUUUAAUAAGGUAAAUUAAUUAAACCACAUAUCAUUAUAAUAUUUGUACAAUAGAUAAAUAAUUUUCAUACAAAAUCAUAAAUAUUUUAAUAAUAUUCUUACAAUCUAGAAAACUAAGAAAAAAACUAAUUAUCAUAAUAUUUGGAUAAGUUUGAUCUUGAUCUCCCUCCCGAUGAUCUUUUGCUCCUAUUUUCUCCUCUCCCCGUAUUUUGGGAAUUUUCUUGCGAAGCCUCAUCCAUAUAAUUAUUAAAGUAUUCAUAUAAUUAUCCUGCUACCUUUGAAAAGCUUCAACAAAUGCCUAUAAUAUGAUAUGAUAUAUAAUUUCGUAAGAAUAAAGACUACAUUAAUAGAUGAAAUUAACGAGUAGAAAAAUAAAAUAACGAAAAAUUCCUUCAUUAUAUAGCUUAAAGAAAUAUUGAUCUGUAACAAGAGUUCAUAUUUGUUCAUCUUUAUACGCCUUUGUGGUCCAUACCAGUACACAAUCAUGGUUCAGAAAGUAAUUUCUUAAUAUCAUAUGAGUUCAUAUUUGUUCAUCUAUACAAUAGACAAGGAGUAAGAGUAUUCGGAAGGGGUUACAGUUAAUUCUAACAUGAACACAUAAUCCAAAAGAAGUAUGAACAAGCAUAGACACAGUAAAUUUUAUUAAUUUUUAAACACAUUGUUGAGAAAACUCUAAAUGAACUUGAGAUUUAGUGGUUCACUAAGCAAGUUUACACCCAUGAAUAGGUCAUGUUUUACAAUCCUGUUUGAUCAUAUCACUAACUUCUACCUUUCCUAGUAGUAACACUAUUUUAUUGUAUCGUCUUACAUCAAAACCUACAAUGACAACCCCAAUUCUACUACAUAUAUGUCAACACCAAAAAACCAAGAUUUGGAAUCUCAAAAUCUUACAUCUACGACGGGUAAAUACACAAGGGAACCGAAAACCAAGAUUUGCUUUAUCCGGUAUCAAUCGUGAGCUACGAGCAAAUAGAACUCCUUUUAGGAGUAUCAAUACCGUCACGUGAAUUGUAAAUGCAUGAAUAUGAUGUACCAAAAAAUCUGCAGUUCCUAAUGGAAUAGGUAACAAAGCUACUUUGCCGCCCACUGCCACUAAAUCACCACCGCCCCAAGUCAAACUGGUGCUUGCUGUUGCACCAGGGGCCGUUGUACCAGGUGCUAAAGCGUGGGUAUUUUGUAUCCAUUGAGCAAAGACUGGUUGUAAUUGUAUAGCGGUAUCAGAAAACAUAUCUUGAGGGCGCCCUAAAGCACUCAUGGUAUCAUUAUGAAUAUACAAACCAAAACUGUGAAAGCCUAAAAAUAUACACACCCAGUUGAGAUGUGAUAUGAUUGCAUCGCGAUGUCUAAGAAUACGAUCUAAUAGAUCGUUGUAUCGAGUAGUUGGAUCAUAGUCUCUUACCAUAAAAAUGGCUGCAUGUGCAGCAGCACCAACUAUGAGAAAUCCCCCAAUCCACAUGUGAUGUGUGAACAAUGACAGUUGUGUCCCAUAGUCAGUAGCUAGGUAUGGAUAAGGAGGCAUAGCAUACAUAUGGUGAGCUACAAUAAUGGUCAAAGAGCCUAACAUAGCUAGGUUAAUAGAUAAUUGAGCAUGCCAUGACGUUGUUAGGAUCUCAUAUAGACCUUUAUGACCUUGGCCUGUAAAUGGACCUUUAUGGGCCUCUAAAAUAUCUCUUAUACCAUGACCAAUACCCCAAUUAGUUCUAUACAUAUGACCGGCAAUGAGAAAAAGAAUUGCAAUAGCUAAAUGAUGAUGUGCAAUAUCGGUCAGCCAUAGACCCCCAGUUAGUGGAUCUAAUCCUCCACGAAAAGUUAGAAAGUCCGCGUAUUUUGACCAAUUCAAGGUAAAAAAUGGGGUUGCUCCUUCGGCAAAACUUGGAUAAAGUUGAGCCAAAAGAUCCCGAUUCAAGAUAAAUUCAUGAGGAAGUGGGAUCUCUUUGGGAUCUACUCCAGCAUUUAGAAAUUGGUUAAUUGGUAAAGAUACAUGUACUUGAUGCCCCGCCCAAGAAAGAGACCCAAGUCCUAGUAGCCCUGCCAAAUGGUGAUUCAACAUGGAUUCUACAUCUUGGAACCAAGCCAAUUUUGGAGCAGCUUUGUGAUAAUGAAACCAACCAGCAAAAAGCAUUAAGGCUGCAAAGACCAAUGCACCAAUUGCAGUACAAUAGAGUUGUAAUUCAUUAGUUAUUCCAGAUGCUCGCCAAAUCUGAAAAAAACCAGAAGUUAUUUGUAUUCCGCAGAAACCUCCGCCUACAUCACCAUUCAAUAUUUCUUGGCCUACUAUUGGCCAAACCACCUGGGCACUAGGUCGAAUGUGAGUAGGAUCAUUUAGCCAUGCUUCAUAAUUGGAAAAACGAGCACCAUGGAAAUACAUGCCACUCAGCCAAAGAAAGAUAAUGGAGAGUUGGCCGAAAUGAGCACUAAAUACUUUUCGGGAAAUCUCCUCUAAAUCACUAGUAUGGCUAUCGAAAUCAUGAGCAUCAGCAUGUAGGUUCCAGAUCCAAGUAGUAGUAUCAGGUCCCUUAGCUAUUGUUCUUGAGAAAUGACCAGGCUUUGCCCAUUGCUCGAAAGAAGUUUUUAUGGGAUCCCUAUCUACCAAAAUUUUGACUUCUGGAUCUACCAAAAUUUUGACUUUUGGUUCCGGCGAACGAAUAAUCAUUGAGUCCUCCUCUUUCCGGACAACACAUACAAAGAGACCCGCCAACAUAAAACAUAAUUAGUGAACUUAUGAGAGAUGUUUAUAUUGAAUAACUUUCUCUUCUAUCUCCCAUCUAUUUAUUCUAUAUUUUCUUUAGUUAUUCACUAGAACAAUUAUGAUCCGGAAGUUAAUCCGGGGCAAGUGUUCGGAUCUAUUAUGACAUAGUAGUAAGGCGCUCAACGGACCCUUUUUUUUAAUUCUAAAACCUUUUCUGAACUUUGAAUUUAAUGAAGUUAAAGAAUUUUUUGUGCAACCUAGUCUAUUCAUAUUUCACUUAGAGAUUCCUAGAUGGAACAAAUGAAAUUUUUUGUCUUUCUUGCAUAUCUUACAGAGAAGAUAUUCUUAGGUACUUUAUUUCAAAUCACGUGAGCAGUUAUAUUAGCAUUACUAAGGAACAUAACGAAAUAUCAGAUGAAAUAGAACUAUUUUAGAAGGGAUAUAAGAAAAUCUUUUGAUUGUUUGUUGCUUUAUAUUUAGAAAAUGAAUGAUCCGUAUUCUCUUUAUAUUCUAUUCUCUAUAGAGAAUAGAAUAUAAAGAGAAUUAUAGAAAAAUUAUAGAAAAUAUAGAAUAUUAGAAUAAAAAAAAGAAAAUAAUAAACAGAGUGUUCUUAUUCAAAACGCCCUGUGAUCUUCAACCAAUUCUGUGCUUCAAUAUAAUUCCCAGGGGUAAGGGCUAUAGCUUGUUUCCAAUAUUCAGCGGCUUGAUCAAACCAAGAUUCCGCAAUUUCAGAAUCUCCCUGUCGAAUGGCCUGUUCUCAACAGUCAAUUCUUUUUAUCUUCCAUUUUUUCUGGAGUUAAGAACAAGAAAAGAGGUUAAUUACAUGAGUUUCAAACUUGAAUUUGGAUUACGAAUUUAAUCCUUUGUUUUUAGUUUUAUCUUUUUUCCUACCUUCCGAAGAAUAAAGUAUCGACAUUAACACUAAUGCUCGUUCUUAUUGAAAUUUUCUGAAAGGUAACUAUCUCGAUUUCAUAUAUCAUAUACUUUCAUAUAUGAUAUAUCAAUUUCUAUAGAAUCUUUGAGAAAGACUUUUCUUCAUAAGAAAAGACUUACUAUCUUUGGGAUCUGAUACUACACCGCUGCUCACAACCUUAGGGGAUCCACUUUAUUACAUAAGUAGAUUCCUAAUCUAUCAUCAUAUAAGUAAGCAGUUCUUGUUGUAUCGGCCAAAAACCUUGUUAAUUGAUCUUUACGGUGCUUCCUCUAUCAAUUAGAUCUUUUAUCCAUAGAAAAAAAGUAUCUAGGCGUAUAUAUUCUAUUUCUUCAUAUUUUGACUUCUAUGAAGUUUCUUUCUUUGCUACAGCUCAUAAAAAUCGUUGUUUCGAACGAUAUAUAUAUGUAGAAAGCCCAUUUUUUUUGUCUAGUAUUUAUUUUUUUAUUAGUAUUAGUGGAGUUGUUCGUUCUUUUCUUUUUUUCUAUAGUGGAGAUAGUCGCACGUAAUGACAGAUCACGGCCAUAUUGUUAAAAGCUUGAGGUAAGAAAGGGUUUCGUUCGAGUGCCCUAAAAUAGUAUUCCAAAGCUUUCGUAUGUUCUCCGUUACUUGUGUGUAUAAGGCCUAUGUUAUAAAGUAUAUAACUUCGAUCAUAGGGAUCAAUUUCCAGUCGCAUAGCCUCAUAAUAAUUUUGUAAAGCUUCCGCAUAAUUUCCUUCAGAUUGAGCCGACAUCCGUUACGGUCGUCAUUCGGUUCAAAGAAUAUCCGUUCCAGAACCGUACGUGAGAUUUUCAUCUCAUACGGCUCCUCCUUUAUGUGUAUAAUGAUAAACAUCCAUGGAAUCAAAUCCAAAAAGAUUGCAAUAUUCUCAUUAUCAACUUAGCGGGACUAGUAUUUUUACACGAAAUCUCUAGCCAACCUUCCUGUAAAGGAUCUUUUAUUAACAUCAAGUAUGUUAUUACUGGAUAAAUAGUCACUUCAACAAUUUCUUUGUCCUCAACGCUGCUAAAUUUCCCGGAAUUAGUCACUUCAACAGUCUUCGAUGGUUAUAUGGGUAUCCAAAAUACGAACGAGAUGGAUGUUUAUUGUCCCAACCAUUCUAGUUAGUCCCGAUCCCCAUAAGAAAGGAAGGAUUUAUUUUUUUUUACAAAGUUUUCUAGUGUUGUUGAUUCCUAAGCGUAGUGCUUCUUCCCCCAUGCCGCCUAUUGGUACUAGUGGAGUAGGAUUAACCUAACCCCAUAGGUAUAGGUAUAACCUUUCGCUUAAUACUAUAAACCUAAAAUUGAAGCAUAUGAGGCUGCAUUAAUCGGAAAUACACGACAGAAGGGAUUAAUUGUUUUAUUUCCAAACUUCACCUUCAGCAAGCGUAGGUUUUUUUUUCAAAAUUUUUUUCUUUCUCUAGACUGAGAUCGGUAAAAAAAAAAAAAAAUAAUCAAAUCGCACCAUCUCUGUAAUAAGUGAAUGCCUCUUUUUCUCCAGAAGUUGUCGGAAUUAUUCGUAAUAAGAUAUUGGCUACAAUGGUAAAGGUCUUAUCAAUAAAAUUUCCAUUUAUCCGAGAUCUAGUCAUAGGUAGCAAUCCAUUCUAAAAUUUCAUUUUUUAUCGCGUGAUAAAAGAAUCCCCCAAACAAAGGAAUUGUACAAUACAGUACGAAAUAACGUAAAAAUGGACUUAUUAAUCAAAUAAUUUUAUCCUACGGCAGGCCUCGAAGUAAGUUUUUUUUUGUUCGUUUCAAUUGAUUAUGUGCGCCUACCCAAAUGGAAUAUCUAUGCCUCACUAUUCACUCGAGGGACAUAAUCAUUAUGUAGGAGAGAUGGCCGAGUGGUUGAAGGCGUAGCACUGGAACUGCUAUGUAGGCUUUUUGUUUACCGAGGGUUCGAAUCCCUCUCUUUCCGCACCCUUAUCAAGUUCAUCAAUGUUACUGACCUCAAUGUUUGCAAAUAGAUAUCAUUAUUCCAACUUUGAUGUGGAUUCUCUAUUCCUAAUUUAUUUCUGUUUUCUGUAAUAAAAAAAAUCGUGGAAUAAAGUGGGCAAGGAAUAACAAAUUUCCUAUACCCACCCACGUCUAUACAUGAAUGGGGGGAAAUCCUCGGAUCAAAAUUAUUCUUAUUUUAAUUAGGUUUAAGUCUGACGAGAAUAAUAUUCUACAACCAGCAAUUCAUUAAUUUUCAAACCAACCCAUUUACUAUCUAUUAUUUGAUUGACUAAUCCUUUAUAUUGGAAUGGAUCAAGAGUCAAAUGGAUUGGCAAUUUUUCGCGGGGGGCUGAUUCAAGAGAAUUUUGAAUCAGAGUUCUAGAUUUUUGUUCAUCCUUCGCUGUAAUAAUAUCUUCGGGUUUGCAACGAUAACUUGGUAUAUCUACUAUACGACCAUUAACUAAAACAUGUCUGUGGUUAACUAAUUGACGGGCUUGAGGAAUAGUCGAAGCCAUACCCAAUCGAAAAAGUAUGUUAUCCAAACGCAUUUCAAGUAAUUGUAGUAAAACUUGACCGGUUGAACCUUUCGCUUUUCCAGCGAUACGAACGUAUUUAAGCAAUUGUCGUUCUGUAAGACCAUAAUGAAAACGCAAUUUUUGUUUUUCUUCUAAACGAAUACGAUAUUGAGACUUUUUACUCGAGCGCGAUUGGUUUUUAAGUUCGCUUCCAACUGUAGGCCCUUUACUAGUUAGUCCUGGUAAAGCCCCCAGACGACGUAUUUUUUUGAAACGAGGCCCUCUGUAACGUGACAUAAACACUCCUUUUUAAUUUAAAAUGGAAAAUCUCAUAAAGCUAAAUUAAAACUAAACUAAAUAACAAAAAUGAUAAAUCAAACGAAAUCUACUUAAAGUAUUUUACUAUAAAUAGUAUACUACAAAAAAGAACUGGAAAGAUUCGAUCAGUAUCCGAAUUUUAUUCUAUUGUAUAUCUAUCUAAAUAAAUAGAAAAUAAAAAAAGGAGGUUAUUUUCUUGAUUUGUUCUAGAGAAAUAGAACUCCCAUUUUUUUCCUAAAAUAAAAAUAAAAAGAGAUUAUACCUUAUGUCAAAAAUGAAAACAAAUAGAGAAAAAAAGCCGGCUAUCGGAAUCGAACCGAUGACCAUCGCAUUACAAAUGCGAUGCUCUAACCUCUGAGCUAAGCGGGCUCUCAUAACACAAAUUGUGGAUUUAUCGGAAUUAUUUCCUAAACUACUGGGAUCUUAGUUAUUAAUUGUUUUAUAUUAGCUCUUCAUAACCAAAUUACUAUAUCAUAAUCAAAUAAAUACAAACAUAGAAAAAAUCGAAAAUAUCCAAUAGUUAUUAUUUAUUUGAUAUUUUAGUAUAUAUCAUAUCAUAAAAAUAAUAAUAAUUUUAAGAUAAGAAUUUUAAUUAAGAGUUAAUUAAUUAAUAGUUAAAUAGAAUACUAUUUUGAUCGAUUUAUCAAAUAAUUUUUAUCAAUAAAACAAUAUCGUCAUUUUAAUUCGUAUAGUCAAAUUCUCUUUUUUGUUUUGAAUAUUUUUGCUUCUUUAUUUCGAUUAUUUUAAUAUUUCAAGAAUAAAUAAUAAAUAGAAUUCAUAUUUUCAUCUAAUCUAUAUAAAUAUCUAAAUAUAGAUAUGUAUUUAUCCCGAUAUCCUGAUUAUUAGAUAGGAAGAUUAUUUGUUUCUAUAUAUAUUCUUUAUAUAUUCUUUAAUAUUCUACAAUUAGAAUACCUUAAAAUAAAAUUCUAUAUAAAAAUUCUAUAUAUAUAUAAAUAAAUAUAGAUAUAGAAAAUAGUAAAGAGUAUAUAGAAUACUAUCUUAAAAUUAAAAUUUAUAUUUUAAAUAGUUUUUUAGAAUUUUAAAUAAAAUAAUGACUAAUUAGAUUACAGUAAACAGUAAUUUAUAUUACAAAAUUCGUAUGCAUUAAGAUGAACUAUGUAUAAUGUAGAUAAAAAAGAAUGUAUCGAUAGAAAUUGGAUAAGUAAAUAGAAAUUUGAUAUUUCUAUUGAAUUUCUAAAUGAAUGUCAAAUUUUAAAUUAAUAAAUAGAUUUUUGAUUUUCGUUUUGUUAUUAUAAGGUCUGUAUCUGUCUCCUCUAAGCAAAAAAAGAAUCGAACGUUAGAGUAUUCUAAAUACUCUCAAAAAAUCAAAGAAGGAGGGACAUCUAAAAUAGAGAUAAAUGUAGUAUAUAUCUCUGUAUAUUGAAUUGCGAAUACACAGAUAAUAGAAUCAUUUCUGAUUCGACUAAAUAUGGGUAUCUGAUAUCAGAUAUAGAUGAAAGAAAAUCAAUCAAACAAAUAGAAGGAAAUUUUUCCAAAAAUGGGAGUAGGUUUCUAAUAAAUUGAACAGUUCCAUCAUAUAAUUCUCAUAAUACAAAUGAAAAAACAUCCUAAUGAGAUAUGAUAUCAAUCUCAAAUAAAAAAACGGGGGAUAUGGCGAAAUUGGUAGACGCUACGGACUUAAUUGGAUUGAGCCUUGGUAUGGAAACUUACCAGGUGAAAACUUUCAAAUUCAGAGAAACCCUGGAAUUAAAAAUGGGCAAUCCUGAGCCAAAUCCUUCUUUCCGAAAACAAAUAAAUAAAAGUUUAGAAAGUGAAAAUCAAAAAAGGAUAGGUGCAGAGACUCAAUGGAAGCUGUUCUAACAAAUGGAGUUGACAACAUUUACUCUUUCAAUAGAAUAAUCUUGAUUGAUCAAAUCAGUCACUCCACCAUAGUCUGAUGGAUCUUUUGAAUAACUGAUUAAUCAGACGAGAAUAAAGAUAGAGUCCCAUUCUACAUGUCAAUACCGACAUCAAUGAAAUUUUUAGUAAGAGGAAAAUCCGUCGACUUUAGAAAUCGUGAGGGUUCAAGUCCCUCUAUCCCCAAAAGCCCAUUUAAUUCGCUAAUUUUUUAUCCUAUAUCCCUUUUUUUUUUAUUUAGUUGACAUAGACUCAAGUAAUUUCCUAAAAUUAGGGUGGUGUGUCAAGAAUGGUCGGGAUAGCUCAGCUGGUAGAGCAGAGGACUGAAAAUCCUCGUGUCACCAGUUCAAAUCUGGUUCCCGGCGAUUCAUUUCUAUGAGUAUCUAUUCCCAAAUUUUAAUAAAUUUGGGAAUAGAUACAUAAUUUAUCUAGGCGUACGGAGAUAUACUCUUUCUAGCUAAAGAAUGAAUAGAUGUAUAUUCUAGGUAUAGAAAGUGAGUCUGAAAAUGAAUGAUUCCAUUUUGUUUCGAUUUUUUCUGCGCUCCAAAAAGAAUGUUAAUAUUUCAACAAUAUAAAAAAAUUCGGUCCAUUUCUUUUUAUUUUCUUUGAUCCUACUUUUUCUUUUUCGUAGCCGGAUAUCUAAUUGAUGUUGCUGUACAUCUUACAUAGUUAAUGAUACAGAACUUUUUCAGUUCAUCCUAUUGGCUCACCCUAAAUUAAGUAUCGUUCCAUCCAAUUUUAGAAUCUCAAUGAAUCCCUAUAUUAUUGUCUUUUUUAUUUAUCCAUUUUGUUAUUUAUCCCAUCCAUAAUAAGAUAUGAAUGAAACCUCUAUUAUUCUGUCCAAUCUAUAACAAAAAGAAAAUGUACAUACAGAUAUUUCUUGAAUAUCUGGGGUUGUCGAAGUGCUGAUUACUUUCUUAUUUUUAUCAUUUAGUGAGCAUCCUGUAUUUCAUAAAAAUUGGGGGCGAUAUAAUCUUUACGCAAAGGCCAUCCUAUCCAACUUUCGGGCAUUAAAAUACGUUUCAGACGCGGAUGAUUAUCAUAAGAGAUUCCUAACAUAUCAUAAGAUUCCCUUUCUUGAAAAUCAGCACUUUUCCAAACCCAGAAAAUAGAAGGAAUUCUCGGAUUUUGCCUUGGGACAAAUACUUUUAUGCAUACCUCUUCGGGUUGAUCUAGACUAUACUCUAUUCUCGUAAGAUGAUAGACACUAGCUAAUAGUCCUCCUGGUGCUACAUCAUAGGCACAUUGGGAACGUAGAUAAUUGUAACCAUAUACAUAUAAAAUAACAGCAAUCGAAUGCCAAUCCUCGGGCUUUAUUUGUAAAGUCUCUAUUCCUUGGUAAUCAAAACCCAAAGAUCUAUGAACUAUUCCGUGUUUGACUAGCCAAGCAGACAGAUGACCCUGCAUUUUUUUUACUUCUCCUGCUUUUUUUUAUAUAAGUUUGGUAUUAGAAUGAAAUUUUUGAAGAUUGACUUGCUUGCUAUUUCUUAUUGUAUUUUGUACAAAAGGAUCCUGUUUAAUUCACUUUUUCGUUUGUCGGAGGAUACUUAACUUUUUUAUAUUUGAAAAAUGUGUCAGAGGUUAUCUCUGAAAUAGAUGAUGGUUGAUAAAAUAAUCCUUGAUUAUAAUUGCCGGUAUGAGUACUGCGUCCAAGAUGAAAUUUGUGGUUCGUAGUAAAACACCUAUUCUCUCGUUGAUAACAAAUUAGAUCUUCAUAGAUUUCUCGAGAUAUUUUCUUACGAAGUUUUGUUAUAGCAUCUAUAACGGCUUCCGGUUUAGGUGGACAGCCUGGCAAAUAGACAUCCACAGGAAUUAGUUUAUCCACGCCCCGAACAGUACUAUAAGAAUCGGUACUGAACAUCCCUCCUGUAAUUGUACAGGCUCCCAUAGCAAUAACAUAUUUUGGUUCGGGCAUUUGCUCAUAUAAUCGAACUAAAGAAGGAGCCAUUUUCAUAGUUACGGUGCCCGCUAUUAAAAUAAGGUCUGCCUGCCUAGGACUCGACCGUGGUACCAGUCCAUAACGAUCAAAGUCAAAUCGUGAUCCUAUUAAUGAAGCAAAUUCAAUGAAGCAACAACUAGUACCAUAGAGAAGUGGCCAUAAACUGGAUAGUCUUGACCAAUUUGAAAGAUCAUUUAAUGUAGUAGAAAUAACCGAAUUUUUGGUUUUUUGAUCAAGUAAGGGAAACUCAAUGGAAUUCAUAACUGUCUCAAUGUUUUGUUUAAUUGUCUAAAUAUUCAAGAAUUAAGACCAUUCUAAUGCUCCCUUCCGCCAUGCAUAAACUAAACCAACAAUUAGGAUAAGGACGAAGAUGAAAGCUUCUAUAAAUACGGAUACCCCCAAUACAUCAAAACUCAUUGCCCAUGGGUAAAGAAAGACUGUUUCAACAUCAAAAACAACAAAAACUAGAGCAAACAUAUAAUAACGGAUUUGAAAUUGUAACCAAGCAUCGCCCAUCGGUUCUAUCCCAGAUUCAUAACUAGAAAGUUUUUCUGGCCCUUUUCUAAUUGGAGCUAAAAUUCCAGAAAUCAGAAAUGCCAAAAUAGGAAUAAAGAUCGAUAUUAUUAGAAAUGUCCAAAAAAUAUCAUAUUCAUAAAGCAAAAACAUAAAUGUACUCCUAUGAAUGUGAAAAAUAUACCGGAUUCUUAUUAAUUCUUAGUCGAUUUGAAUUGAAAUUUUCAAAUUAUUAGAUUAAUGAAAAUUAAUCUAAAUACUAAAUAGAAAUGCUUUUUAUUUUAUUAAAUUUACAUUAUUUCGGAUCAAAUUCAUACUAGUAUCUGAGUAUACUAAUAGAAAUAUUAUUCUAUCCAAUAUUAAUCUAUUCAAAUAGAAAUUGAUUCAUUUUUAAUAAUACUAAUUAACUAAAAAUAUAGUAUAUUUAAACUAGUAAUAUUACAAGUAUGGAGUAUUUAGUAUUCCAUAUACUAUUAAUAUAAUUAAUAGUAUAUAGUACUAAAUACUAUAUAGUACUAUAUCAAAUAUAUCGACUAUUAUAUCUACUAUUAUAUAAGUAUCUACUAUCUAUAAAUCUGAGUAGUAUAGGUAGCAAUAUUAGGGCUAUACGGACUCGAACCGUAGACCUUCUCGGUAAAACAGAUCAAACUAUUAUUAUCAAAAUGAUUUGAAUUGUUUUAAAAACCCAACGUGCAUUUUUUUUUGCAUUGGGCUUUUUCAUUAACUGAUAGAAAUAUCAAUUAGUCUACCAUCUUUUUUCUUUACACAAAGAAAAAGGAAAUGAUUCCCUGUGCUCUGAUUUAUUUUUUUUUAGAUUUUAAUCUAAGAGCACUACCAAAGUUUUUCAAAGAAGAAGGUUAUCCUGACGUAGGUCUGCUUUUGGCCUGGAUCAACUAAAGUUAAAUGGACUCUCUAUCAACCCACUUAAAUAAAAAUAUCAAAUAGGAAAUGAAACUUCAUACACCUUAAAGUUCAUAAGAUAGGAAGAAAAGAGAAUUUUUUUGAGGUCCCUAGACUCAUUUGCCUAGCAUUGAAUAGAUUAAGUAUUCACCUUAUCAAUAUCUCAAAUCCAUUAUGGAUUUUAUUUGACGUCUAAAUCCUUUGUCAGGCUAUUGUUCUCUUAUUUUAUUCCUGGAGUAAGACAUGGAUUUCUCAAUAAGAUCAACUCUUUUAAUUACAUGAUGGACUCCUAUGAAAAAAAAACAUUGGCGCGUGUGUAAACGAGGUGCUCUACCAACUGAGCUAUAGCCCUUGUGCUUUUGAUACAUAUUUUAUUCGAUAAAUAAAUUCUUGUCAAGAUUAAUAUUACAUGAUCGAAUCUCUUUGAUUGAUAGUGCGUUGGUAUUGUUUAUAAGUAAUAUAACAUUUAUAAUCCAUUGAUCUGAUAGAUGGGUACUUUUUUUAUUUAGGAUGAUAAACGACCUACUUAACUCAGUGGUUAGAGUAUUGCUUUCAUACGGCAGGAGUCAUUGGUUCAAAUCCAAUAGUAGGUAAGGUAUAGAUAGAACGUAUUAGAUACCAUUGAUUCCGGUAUCUAAUAAGUUUUUCUACUCAUCUUUUUUUAUUGUAAUUUUCUAUCUUUUUCUAUUUUUAAUUAUUUUGCUGAACCAACUUGUUACGAGAUCCUAUUGAUAGCCUCUACUCGUGUCCUAGCUCGUCGGAGAGCUAGAUUUGCCUCAAUUUUUUGUCUUUUCCCUUCAGCCUUAUUCAAGUUAGCUUCUGCUAUUUUUAGAGUUUGUUGUGCUUCUUGUGGAUCAAUGUCAAUACUCUUUUCCGCAUCAUUUACUAAAAUAGUGAUCUCAUUAUUUCCUAUUCUAGCAAAACCGCCCAUCAGAGCCAUCGUUACCCAUUGUCGGUUGUUAUUGUUAAGGCGUAUUUUCAAAAUACCUAUAUCUAAAGCUGUGGCAAUAGGCGCAUGAUUUUUUAAUACCCCAAUUUGUCCACUAUUAGUAGAUAAAAUAAUUUCCUUCACUUCUGAAUCCCAAACAGUUCGAUUGGGGGUCAGUACACAAAGAUUUAAAGUCAUUUCUUGAAUUUGUUCUCCAUUUACAAGUUCGCAGCCUUCGCAGUAGCUUCAUCGAUAUUACCCACCAAAUAAAAGGCUUGUUCAGGAAGACUAUCUAAUUCUCCAGAAAGAAUCAAUUUAAACCCUCUAAUUGUUUCUGCUAGACCAACAUAUUUCCCUGGGGAACCUGUAAAUACUUCUGCUACGAAAAAAGGUUGGGAUAAGAAACGUUCAAUUUUUCGUGCUCUUGCUACGGUUAAACGAUCCUCUUCGGAUAAUUCGUCCAACCCAAGAAUAGCUAUAAUGUCCUGAAGUUCUUUGUAACGUUGUAACGUUUGUUUAACCCUUUGCGCAGUUUCAUAAUGUUCUUCACCAACGAUCCGAGGUUGGAGCAUGGUUGACGUUGAAUCUAAAGGAUCGACUGCUGGAUAGAUACCUUUGGAAGCUAAUCCUCUUGAUAGUACAGUAGUAGCAUCCAAAUGUGCAAAUGUCGUGGCAGGAGCAGGAUCGGUCAAAUCGUCUGCAGGUACAUAAACUGCUUGAAUAGAAGUUAUAGACCCUUCUUUGGUAGAAGUAAUUCGUUCUUGUAAAGUACCCAUUUCAGUACCCAGGGUGGGUUGAUAACCCACAGCGGAAGGCAUUCGGCCCAAUAGGGCAGAUACUUCGGAUCCGGCUUGGACAAAACGGAAGAUAUUGUCGAUAAAUAGAAGGACGUCCUGUUCAUUGACAUCUCGGAAAUAUUCUGCCAUAGUUAGGGCAGUUAAACCAACUCUCAUACGAGCUCCGGGCGGUUCAUUCAUUUGCCCGUAGACUAGAGCUACUUUUGAUUCCGCAAUAUUUUUUCCAUUAAUUACUCCGGAUUCUUUC
rnacentral:lncRNA from 1 species